CACGGACGGUUCCACGGCGCUACCAGGGCCCGGCGGUGGCGCCUGCGGGUGGGAGGCACAGCGGGGGCGGAAGCGCUCAGACACGCGCCGGGACCGCGCCCCCGCCCCUUUGUCCCGGUCACGGGACCCGGAAGCCGCCGUCACGUGCGCGCGGGAUAAACACAGAAAGAUGGCGCCGGCCACGCUGCGCGGCGCUGCUGCGUCACAGCGAUCCUCCGCGGACCGCGGGGAGAACAAAGGCGGGGCGGCCGCCCGGCGCAGCCGAGAACAGCAAGAGCUGAAAAUAGAACCACCUUGGGCUCCGGAGCAGGAAGCUGCCCAGGAGCGGUACUGAGGACUGACGCCGAGGGACGCUGGCGCCCCGCGGGUGGCCAUGGCGACGGGCCCCCUUCUCUAGGCUGGGGGCAGACUCUGAGGUUUUGCUGUAUAGCCCAGGCUGGCCUUGAACUUACAGCGGAUCCUCCUGCCUCAGCCUCCCGAGUGCUGGGAUCCCAGGCGUGCCCAGUGUGGCCUUGCAGUCCCUUGCCUCGGGCCUCUGGGCAUCUGUUGGACAGCUCCAGUCCCAGCGCUGCCCUUUCUCCUGAGUUGGCUUCAGAAGAGGCAGCCCCUGAAGCACUCCCUUCAGAGAGGUCAGGACCGAAGGGUCUUGCUGUGUAGCUGUGGCUGGACUUGAACCAAGAGCAAUCCUCCUGCCUCAGCCUCCCGAGUGCUGGGAUGACAGGCGCCACCAUGCCCAGCUUAGAAACCAGCAUUUUAAAAGACCAGGUGCUGCAGUCGGAUGGGCCGGGGAUUUAGCUCAGUGGUUCCGGCACCUGCCUCACAAGCGCAAGGUCCCGAGUUCAAUCCCUGGUACCAAAAAAAAUACCAGGUGCUGCAGUCGGAGGGACCGUGCAGAUCAGCCAGACACAGCGCUUUCAGGUGCUUAGCCGGAGGCGAACAUGUUGAAUCUAACACGUAUAUUUUGGACCAGUUAUUGAAGGGUCCACUGCCGACAUGAACUCAGAAUAAAGCUAACUGUGCAGUGGCUGGGGAGGGGCACACGAAAACGAGUGUGCUCGGUGCAUGAAGUGAAGCGUGCGUGCGGGUGUCCGGCCCAGUGAAGGUUGCACCUCAGGGUCUUUGUGGGCUGGGCACCCAGUCCCUGUCUCUGUCCCUGUCCAGGAACUACGGCUCCCACUUUUGGCUGGGUGCCCAGGGCGGGGCCCAGCUUUUCCUUGCUGUAUUUUUUAAACCAUUUCAGGAGAAGAAAAAAGCAAAUCUAUAACCCUGGCUUCAAGUUUCCUGGAGGGCUGUGGCACAAGGUAGCUUUUCUUUUUUAACUCUGAUUUCUGCCCAUCCGAGGUUGCAGUCCUUCCUCCAGGGAGCUGGUUCAAGACAUCUCACACCUCCGCCUUCGCCCCUUCUCCUCCCUGUCUCUCCAUUGAGUCUUCAGAGCCUCUGGUGUGAAGCAGAGAUGCAGCAGGAGGCAGGCGCACAUGCUGCGCACUGCACAAGCAGAAGUGUCGCUCCCUGGCACUCUGACGGUGUCCUCAAGGAGUAGGCUGUGAGUUUCAGACUAGGAAAAGCUAUCCCAGAGAGCAGCGAGCUGAAAUCAGACUGCAGCUCAGCUCAGCAGCACUUCAGAUGCGUGGCCUUCAGCACCCCAUUCCUCAGCUCCCAGUGUUGGAUCCCCACUGCUGGCUCUGCAGGCUGUUGCCGUGUCUCCGUCCUCCAGAAGUACCUGCCUCCGAGGUGGGUCCUGUGCUCACGCAUGGGGCGAGGUCACGGUGUUUGCCACUUGACCACAGCCUGGACAUCAGCUCCCUCUCUGGAAGAACCUAGUUCCCACCCCGGUCCGCUUUGUCCCUCUCAGAUGCCAUGUACUUCCUCACUGUACAAGUCCAUACAGUCCCUUGUUCUUUAGUUAAAACAGUUUAACCUUUGUUUGGGGAUUUUUUUUCAGACAGGAUUUUGUUAUGUUUCCCAGGCUGGCCUUGAACUCAUGGCAAUCCUCCUGCCUCAGCCUCCUGAGUGCCAGGUUACAACAGUUUAAUUCUUACAAGAACAGUAUGUAUUUGAAAAAUGUUUCAAGUAGAUUUUACUUUUAAAAAAAAUUCCAAGGAGAAACAAAAUUGCAUUUUAAAGCAUUUAUUAGUUAUAAAAUAAUCAUUUAAAUUUUUUUUUCCUCGAGACUGCUUUCAAGUUGCACUGAGAGAAUGCUAAUGUAAAUAUUCACAAGAUAGUUGUUUGCUUUUUAUUAUUACAAAUGCUUAGUCUUUUUUUCCUUCCAAUUUAGAUAGAAAAAGUGAAAGAGAAAAACAUUGCCUAAAGGAAAUAGCCUUUACAAUGGACCUUUGACUUACGAACUCAGUCCGUUCCAGAGGGAUGGUUGUAACUCAGGUUGGUCAGUGGAGGCUCGGGCUCCCCUACACAGCCUUCACAGUCUCUCUCCUGCACACAGGCAGAUCUCAGUGUCCUCAGAGAGACACUGGCCGGGGAUUUCCCAGUGAGCCCCAUUCAGGAGAGGAUGCUGUCCUGUUCCUUCCAGACUCUUUAAGGGUUAAGUCUGCAUGUGAGACCAUCUGGAAGCACAGGUGGCCAGCAUUCAGGUCAUAACUCAAGACUUUGGUUGUAAGUUAAAACUAAAAUCCUGGUCAAGACCCAAGUUGUUCGUAUAUCAGGCCGGUUGUAACUCAAGGGCCCACUGUUGCACUAUUUACUGAGUGUCUGGCAGUUGCAUGGCUUCGCCGUGGGUCACCCCGAUGUCCUGUGGGCCCCAGGAGAAGCUCAGGACCAAGGCCUGGCGGGCACAGCACCAUCCCUGCUGCCUUUCCUUCGGCAGCUGGGGACGCCUCUGCCCUCAGUCGCUGUUCCGGUUCUGUGUGUAGGAGGAGCCAGCUGCUCUCUGGGAGCCUCUGGUCUGCCUGAAAGGCGCUGCCCCAUCAGUCUGGAGCAGAAAUCCAAGAACAAGCGCACCUGCCUGUCGGAUCUGCUCAGACAAAACAGCGGAGACCUCAAAACACAGCGGAAACGGCGAGUCACCGCCUCCAGAGGAUGCUCUGCCACUGAUUUCAGCCCAGACGCCCUGUGCCCCUCAGGAGCUGGAGUCCCUGAGUCAGCCAGAUGGCAGGGCUCGACUCAGGAAGUCAUCUGGGAGCCGCAGGUUCUGAUGCUGAGCCCAGGGAUAGAGCUGGCUGCUGCUCUCCGAGGGACCUCAGAGCCCGGCCCACACCUCGUGGGACCCACAGAGCCUCCUGGCUGCCCUGGCUCAGUUAUCACAGUGCUGAUGCUGUCCACUCUAAAGGUACAGUACUGUGAUAACUGAAGGAUGGCAGCCACCUUGCUGCCCGAGGUGCCCGGAACCACAGAGGAGGAGGAGGAAGAAGGGGCCCAGUGAUGGCCCCGAAACCCAUGCGCAGCCCCUGGCUGGAGAGAAGGUUAUUCUGGCUCUUCGCUGUGCUUUGUUCAUUUUUGGGUUUUUUUGAGUUAGGUCGCCAUGCCGUUCAAACUGGCCUUGAAGUCACUGGAGCCCAGGCUGGUCCUGGACUCGAGGUGAACCUCCUGCCUCAGCCUCCUGCGUGCUAGGGUUGCCCCAGCCCUGCUCUCCUUGUCUCGUUUUAUAACAUGGGCAGAAAACUCGAGGUGGUUUGUUGGCAAACACGGAAGGGCCAGGAACCUUGAGUCUUCAGGGGUCAUCGCUGGGGAUGUACCGGGUAUGAGUCAGGGGGCCGGGCAUGGCAGUGCCCGCCUGUAAUCCCAGACUCGGGAGGCUGAGGCAGGAGGACUUCUGGGAGUUCAAGGCCAGUGUCCAGUUGCCGUGUCUCUGGGGAUUGGACAGCGACCUGUCUGUCCUGUGUCCGGAGAGAUUUACAUCACAUCUUCUCCCAAAAGUGUGUACUGUUACUGCUGCUGUUGUCACCUUUCAUAUGAAAAUAAAGUGUGAAGUUAUUUCAUUUUGUCACAUAAAGAAGGACCACUCUGGGAGCUGGGUGUGGGGGCCACACCGGUAAUACUCGGGAGGCCGAGCGAGGCAGCAGGAUCCCUGCAGGUUCAAGGCCAGCCUGGGCUCCAGAGUGAGACCCCCAUCUCAAAAAAUUAAUAACCAAGCAAGUACAAAGCAACCCCCACACCGGGUUUUAUGCUUCCCAGCCUCUGCAUCCUCUCCAGAGUCUGCAGGGCUGCAGGGCCCAGGUUCAGGUGGCUGGGGCGGGACCUCACUUCCCUGCAGCUCCAUCUGCGUGACUCUUGCCCCAAGGAAGUGAAUGUAGGGCCUCACAGACAUUGACACACUUCUGCUGAUGCCGCCCAGGUGUACAUGUGAGGAUGGGUAGGGGAGCAAGAUGUGACACGUGUAGUGGGUGGAGUAUUACUCAGCCCUGAAAAGGCAGAGUUCCUCACUGCAGUGUGGUGAGUCUUACAGAUGCUGUGUCGGUAAAAGAAGCUAGCAUGACAAGAUGGGUUCCGUGUGUCCCCACAUGCACUUCCAG
rnacentral:lncRNA from 1 species